GGGGUGGGAGGGCCUCUCUGGAGUCACAGAAGCCUCAUGCAUCUUGACCAGGACGGUGGAUGCAUGGCUUACAUUGGUCACAACUUGUCAACUUGUAUGACUGAAAACUGAACAUCACAUUGAAUUGGACUCAAAGGCAAGACCUGAGGCAAAAUUCAUGUAAGGAGGGAGUUUGGGCGAAGCUUGAGGACUGCUGCCCGGAAGCGUAGAUUCAAGUUGCCCUGAAUACACCUCCUAUUAGCAGCUGUUACAGGUUCAGAAAAAGGAUGGAGGUAGAAAGUCCUCUCUCCCAAACACUAUGAUUGACACUGCAGAGUUCUGCAACUCUCGUACGAGGGAGAUUUCAUGAUGAUCUCAGUAACCGAUCAGAGAAUCAACGACUGACUUCGCUGAGGCACGGUGAUGAAAAGGUCAAGGUGGUCUGGUCUGAGUGAAGUCACAGCAAGAACCCUUGUCCAGGGCCAUUCUCACCUUUGGGGACAGCUCCUUCCCUGUAUGGUCCUCAUGUCACUGCACUUUCCUGCCUUGUUUCUUGCUGAAGCCAUUAUUUCUUAAUUCCUUAGUAGAUAUGCAGAGCGGACAUCCCAAAGAAGCUAGAAAAAUUGAUGAGCAGGGAACAGAUCAAAUCCUCUCCAUCAGUGGAAGGCAAUUCACGAGGGAAGAAGGCAAGACCAUGGGGUAAUUUUUCUGAGACUUGACAAUGUUUGCCAAGUAAAUAAAUCUGCCAUUUAACACUACGAUAAAAGCUGUCAUAGCCAGGGUAUUAGUGACUACUUGAGGUUUGAGGACAAUGAAGACAGAGUAAGAUAAACAUCCUUACUAUCCAGAAAAAAAAAACGGAACCAGAAGACAGCGCUUCUUACUAUCCACAAAAGAAAUGGAACCGCAAGACAGCCCUUCUUAUUUUUCUCCAUCUUCGAUGGUGAGGAAGAAUAAAAAAAAAGUUGCUUUUAAAGUAUAUUCAUUAAAAUCAAAUUCUAUUAUCAUACACACAAAAUAUUUACGUGAAACCAGCCACAAAAGAAUGACAAGGAACGCUACUGAUUUGUCCAUUCUGGGGGAUAAGAACACAGAUUCUUAUCUCACUCUUGUUAAAAGAAAACUUCAGCUGAAUUAAAUUUAAAGGAGUUUAAUUGAGCAAUGAAUGAUUUGCACAUCGGGCAGCCCCCAGAAUUACAGCAGAUUCAGAGAGACUCCAGUGCAGCCACGUGGUGGAAGAUUUAUAGACAAAAAAAGGGAAGUGAGGUAGAGAAACACCUGGAUUAGUUACAGGUUGGCAUUUGCCUUAUUUACACACAGUUUGAACAUUCAGCAGUGUAUGAGUGAUUGAAGUACGGCUGCUGGGACUGGCCGAGACUCAGCAAUUGUGACAGGAUGAGUCAUGGAAUGCAUAACUUUUAAUAACAAAAGCUUUAAGGACUCACGAAGGACAAGGCAGCCAUCUUGGUUCUCCAUGAGUCCAUGCUUAACAUCGGACUUAUGUCCUCUUGGGUGCCAGUUGUUUCUCCAAAUUGGGCACAUAGCAUGGAUAACUGAUGGGUUAUCACAGAAGUUUGGCUGCUGUAACUGACUGGGAAGCUUAAAAUAACAGACAAUCAUCUCUCACAUUUAUGGGGACUGGGAAGUCCAAGACCAAGUUGCCAUCUGGGGAGGGCCUGUUCCUCACAGCGCCUUCCAGCUCAGGCCUCGUUUAUAAGGGCACUCAAGCCUUCCACGACAACGGGUCCUCAUGACUUACUCACCUCGGAAAGCCCCACCCCCAAGACCAUCACAUUGUGGGUGAUGGCAGAGCAUAAGGUGCCUUCCCCACAUGCUCGGGUUGGCCCAGCGUCUCACGCUAGCAGCUACGUGGAAUAGUUAUUUUUUCUGGAGAACUCUGGGACCCCUCUGAUGUCUUGGAGCACCCACACAGGCCGUUCACUGUGCACGCUGUGAGGCUGUCGUCUUGGAGCACCCACACAGGCCGUUCACUGUGCACGUGGUGAGGCUGUCCUCUGGGGAGUUCUGCUGUUGUAUGGGUUCUGUCUGUGUCAAUGUCCCAGCGGGAACGCAGGGCACACUAGCGUCAUCCCCAGAGGGCUUGGUAAGGGGACUGUUUGCAGAGACAUAGGCAGAGGGCUGGAAAACUACCAAAAAAGUGCAGUGUUCUGGACCUAAUAAUAGCAGAGCUAUUCUCACCCUGGUCUGAAGGCAGGAGGGGAGGAGCAGUUAAUGGAUUCUGGAAGUCAGGUUGCACAGAGUCACCUUGAAAGAUGCCAUGACCUUCACCGAGGGCCAGACAGAGACUAAGAUGACCCCAUAGGAGAAUAAGACCUAGACCUCAUCCUCCUGCCUCCUGCCAGUCCCUGCCAGGGGUCGCCAAUGGCAAAACAGGACUGGAAGCCAGAGGCCAUGGAAGCCCAUGGAUGAAGUCCACAGGCCAGCCUCCCCGAGAGCAGCCUGGACGGUCCGCAGGAGACGUCUCCUGUCUUAGGCGUCCCACGCCGCGUGCUCCUGUUCAGCCCUGCCGAGGUGGAAGCUUGGAGUGGCUCACGGUGGAUGCAUUGACGCUGCAGACGCCAGCAAGUGCUACAAACCAGAGCUGGCCUUUAACUCAGACUGAUGGAGAAGGUGUUAAUAAUGCAGAUUAGACUUAAAAGUGUUGAAGCCAUUGCACUGUGAACAGCAAAAAAAUUGAAGAACUCUUCUGGCAUUUAAAAACAAUUACUCAGUUCAGCAGAGAAGUCACUGACAAACGAGAUCACACUGACUGCUUUGUCGUUUUGGUUUUGUCUUACUCAUUAAUGCAAAUAAGAACAUUCACUAGCAUCUGUGUCGGGCCUACCCUCCCUGGUCAAAUACAGCUACAGUCUCCCUGCAGAAACGAGUUUUCCAGAAAUGAGCCGAUGUUUUCUGCGAGAAUCAAUUGGUCAUAUACAAUUUACAAAAAUGAGUACUGUAUACUAUAUUUGUAAACUGUACACUGCAGAUGCUUUAUUUCACUGAAAUUUAUAAUACACUUAUCCAUGUAUAUGCAUGCAUGCAUUUUUGUUCCUGAGAUCCAGCUGUGAAAUGUUUACCAGCACAUAAAUUACCAGCACAUGCUCUUUUUUGUUAACCUACUAGGUAAAAUCUUCAUUUAUUACAUCAAAUUCUUGUAGUUUUUGUAUUGCAAUUAUGCAGAUAUUGAUUAUCGCAGUAUUACUGCAAUUAUACAGAUACCACAAUUUCAGAUAUUGAUCAGCGUGUUCAGUUGGUUUCUAAGGAGGUUUACUUACCUCAUGGUACACCUAGUUUGCAUAGUUUGAUUAUAUUUAACUCUUAUGCUAAUUGGGGGAAGUCAUUGAUUUAUUGGACAGAUGCACCUGUGGUCUUCCCUGAGCACAUCCUGGCCAAGGAUGCUGCCCCCAGGAGAUUUGAGAAGUCCUGUAAGGAUCAUAUCAGUAUUUUCAAAUACUUAUAGAAAAGCCAGAGGGAUUGACCCAGAAUUACCAAUAUAAGCUUGACCCUGAGAUAACAAUGCCAUUUUAUGUUUGCAUGCAUAAAACCAAUGCAAGAGGCUGAUGACUCCAGAUCCCUUAUAUAAGCCAAUAAAAAGUAGUUUCAUUUUUUAUUUCAUUUAAAAAA
rnacentral:lncRNA from 1 species